GAUGAACGCUGGCGGCGUGCCUAAUACAUGCAAGUCGAGCGAACAGACGAGGAGCUUGCUCCUCUGACGCUAGCGGCGGACGGGUGAGUAACACGUGGAUAACCUACCUAUAGGACUGGGAUAACUUCGGGAAACCGGAGCUAAUACCGGAUAAUAUAUUGAACCGCAUGGUUCAAUAGUGAAAGACGGUUUUGCUGUCACUUAUAGAUGGAUCCGCGCCGCAUUAGCUAGUUGGUAAGGUAACGGCUUACCAAGGCGACGAUGCGUAGCCGACCUGAGAGGGUGAUCGGCCACACUGGAACUGAGACACGGUCCAGACUCCUACGGGAGGCAGCAGUAGGGAAUCUUCCGCAAAGGGCGAAAGCCUGACGGAGCAACGCCGCGUGAGUGAUGAAGGUCUUCGGAUCGUAAAACUCUGUUAUUAGGGAAGAACAAAUGUGUAAGUAACUAUGCACGUCUUGACGGUACCUAAUCAGAAAGCCACGGCUAACUACGUG
rnacentral:rRNA from 1 species